rnacentral:tRNA from 1 species
ACGGGUGUAGCUCAAUUGGUAGAGCGGCGGUCUCCAAAACCGCAGGUCGGGAGUUCGAGCCUCUCCACCCGUG